rnacentral:rRNA from 1 species
AACUUUCAACAACGGAUCUCUUGGCUCUCGCAUCGAUGAAGAACGCAGCGAAAUGCGAUAAGUAAUGUGAAUUGCAGAAUUCAGUGAAUCAUCGAAUCUUUGAACGCACCUUGCGCUCUCUGGUAUUCCGGAGAGCAUGCCUGUUUGAGUGUCA